AAAUACAGGUAGAUAACGGGCAAAAGACAUAGUGUAGGAAAGGUCAUUUUUUCGUGUGCUUGCCGCACACCUACAUGUCACUCUUUUACCUUUCUUUCUUUUCUUUUGCUCAACAAAUAUAUUUAAUAUUUU
rnacentral:ribozyme from 1 species